ACUGAGCUCGGUAGCGUGAGCUUAUAACCCAAGCAGGGGCAAGGAGGCGGUCGAACAUUGAUUCGGUUCUAACGGGUAGGGUUUGUUGAGGCUUGAUCUGGUUCGCCCAGUCUAAGUAGGGAGUUGGACCACGCGACUCGGGCGAAGUCUCGGGUUUCAAGGUCCUUAGAGUGGAGGGCCCCGCGUCAGGCUGGUUUCGCAGAGCAACGACAACCCUCUUCUCGUCGGUGGAAGGAUAACGAAUCGGUGCCUCGCUGUCCCACUGAACAGAGUUCAAUCAGACGGCCACCUUU
rnacentral:SRP_RNA from 1 species